rnacentral:rRNA from 1 species
CCUACGGGAGGCAGCAGUAGGGAAUCUUGCGCAAUGGGCGAAAGCCUGACGCAGCGACGCCGCGUGAGGGAUGAAUGCCUUCGGGUUGUAAACCUCUUUCAGCAGGGACGAAGCCUUCGGGUGACGGUACCUGCAGAAGAAGGUCCGGCCAACUACGUGCCAGCAGCCGCGGUAAUACGUAGGGACCAAGCGUUGUCCGGAAUUAUUGGGCGUAAAGAGCUCGUAGGCGGCCGUUCGCGUCGGAUGUGAAAGCUCAGGGCUCAACCCUGAGAGGCCAUUCGAUACGGGACGGCUAGAGGUAGGUAGGGGAGAUCGGAAUUCCUGGUGUAGCGGUGAAAUGCGCAGAUAUCAGGAGGAACACCGGUGGCGAAGGCGGAUCUCUGGGCCUUACCUGACGCUGAGGAGCGAAAGCUGGGGGAGCAAACAGGAUUAGAUACCC